rnacentral:rRNA from 1 species
AGUGAACGCUGGCGGUAGGCCUAACACAUGCAAGUCGAACGGCAGCACAGUAAGAGCUUGCUCUUACGGGUGGCGAGUGGCGGGCGGGUGAGGAAUACAUCGGAAUCUACUUUUUCGUGGGGGAUAACGUAGGGAAACUUACGCUAAUACCGCAUACGACCUACGGGUGAAAGCAGGGGAUCUUCGGACCUUGCGCGAUUGAAUGAGCCGAUGUCGGAUUAGCUAGUUGGCGGGGUAAAGGCCCACCAAGGCGACGAUCCGUAGCUGGUCUGAGAGGAUGAUCAGCCACACUGGAACUGAGACACGGUCCAGACUCCUACGGGAGGCAGCAGUGGGGAAUAUUGGACAAUGGGCGCAAGCCUGAUCCAGCCAUACCGCGUGUGUGAAGAAGGCCUUCGGGUUGUAAAGCCCUUUUGUUGGGAAAGAAAAGCAGUAGGUUAAUACCUCGCUGUUCUGACGGUACCCAAAGAAUAAGCACCGGCUAACUUCGUG